rnacentral:tRNA from 1 species
UGGCUCAGUUGGUAGAGCAUGGUGAUUGCAACUCCAGGGUUGUGGGUUUGAUUCCCAU